rnacentral:rRNA from 1 species
GACGAACCGAGCGAACGUUGUUCGGAAUCACUGGGCGUAAAGCGCACGUAGGCGGCUUUUUAAGUCAGAGGUGAAAUCCUGGAGCUCAACUCCAGAACUGCCUUUGAUACUGGAGAGCUUGAGUCCGGGAGAGGUGAGUGGAACUGCGAGUGUAGAGGUGAAAUUCGUAGAUAUUCGCAAGAACACCAGUGGCGAAGGCGGCUCACUGGCCCGGUACUGACGCUGAGGUGCGAAAGCGUGGGGAGCAAACAGG